rnacentral:rRNA from 1 species
CUACCAUGGCAGUCACGGGUAACGGGGAAUUAGGGUUCGAUUCCGGAGAGGGAGCCUGAGAAACGGCUACCACUUCUAAGGAAGGCAGCAGGCGCGUAAAUUACCCAAUCCCGACUCGGGGAGGUAGUGACAAGAAAUAACAACUUGGGUCCUUCGGGAUUACAAGAUUGCAAUGAGAACAAUUUAGACCACUUAACGAGGAUCCAUUGGAGGGCAAGUCUGGUGCCAGCAGCCGCGGUAAUUCCAGCUCCAAUAGCGUAUAUUAAAGUUGUUGCAGUUAAAAAGCUCGUAGUUGAACUUCUGGCUAUUCUUCCAGCUGGCUUCGGUCGCUGUAAGAGUGGUCAUCCGCUUGGGAACUACGUUCGAACUUCACUGUUCGGCGUAAGGAACAGGCAUUUUACUUAGAAAAAAUUAGAGUGUUCAAGGCAGGCUAUCGCCCUGAAUACACAAGCUUGGAAUAAUGAAAUAGGACUAUUUCCAUUUUAUUGGUUAUUGAAUUAGUAAUGAUUAAUAGGGACAGUUGGGGACAUUAGUAUUUAAUUGUCAGAGGUGAAAUUCUUGGAUUUAUUAAUGACUAACUUAUGCGAAAGCAUUUGUCAAGGAUGUUUUCAUUAAUCAA